rnacentral:rRNA from 1 species
UACGAAGGGGGCUAGCGUUGCUCGGAAUCACUGGGCGUAAAGGGUGCGUAGGCGGGUCUUUAAGUCGGUGGUGAAAUCCUGGAGCUCAACUCCAGAACUGCCUUCGAUACUGGGAGUCUCGAGUCCGGGAGAGGUGAGUGGAACUGCGAGUGUAGAGGUGAAAUUCGUAGAUAUUCGCAAGAACACCAGUGGCGAAGGCGGCUCACUGGCCCGGUACUGACGCUGAGGUGACGAAAGCGUGGGGAGCAAACAG